rnacentral:lncRNA from 1 species
AGAAGGUGUGUCCACUAUUUUCCCAGUGGUGUAUGAAAGGCAGGCCAGCUCCUGAACCCCAACGUUGUUCCUCAAGUUUUUUUUGCCUGGUCUGUAUCAAAAGACAGAAUCUUGAUGACUAAGACAUUUUCUUUGGUACCUACAAGAAGGAUCCAGCUCUCUACUUCUAUCAGCUCCUGGAUGACUACAAGAAAGGGAACCUCCACAUCAUUCCAGACACUCCUCUGGCUGAGGAGAGAUCAGGAGAUGACAGUGAUGUGUUGAUAGACAGAGACAUCAUGGCCUCCAUGCAGAGGAAUGUGUGGAUGGACAUAUAUUUAAGGAAGACACUAAACCAGAAAAUACCACAUUACACCCUCUUAAAAGACUUCUAAGAUUGUUGUCAUGCCUACCACAGACAUUCAGAUGAUGUGUAUUCUUGAUUGUGAUUUCAUGUUUGGAGCUGAUGAAGGAGAAAGUACCUGGAAUGUCCUAGAAUUCUCAAGACCCAGGAGAUGAACAUAUGCCUGAGAAGAAGAACUAGUGUGGAACUGUCAGCCAGGUUUUUGAUGAGUGCUCAGACUGCUUUUUGAUCCGGCACCACAUUUACUAUAGUGGACAGAUGCUCUAGUCUCUGAUGAGGAGUUGCUAGCUGUUAGGAAAAACCUGGAAUGGGCUCCACUGCAUGAGGCUUGGUCGAAGCCUUCCCCACUAAUAACAAGAACACCCAUGCCAUGGGAAAGAAGAUAUUAGAGGAAAAUUUCCCAAGAUUUGGCAUCUCUAAGGUACUUUCAUCAGACAAUGGCCCCUCCUUCAUUGUCCAGAACCCCCUCUAGCUCACUUGAAGGCCCUACAAUUGGUCAGAAAAGAUGCCUUGGAAAUGCUGAAACACAAUAAAAAACAAAAACAAAAACAAAAAAACAAAAAAACAUACUAACCAGGAACCAUCUUCGUGCCACAUAAAUUUCAAACAGAAGAUCCUGUCCGGGUCCGGUGCCACCAUUCUGGCAAACUUGAACUCAGAUCAAAAGGAUGCUCCCUGGUGCUUCUGACAAGCCCUGCUGCCGCACCUCCAGCAUGUAACCGCUUCUGGCCUGCCAUGGCCCACUGGCCUGGCACUGCACA